CUGGAGUCGCCAUGUGAUCCACCGGCAAGAGAGGGUGCCAGUGGAAGGCAUUCUCUCAUUUUGCCAUUCUCUGCCAGCUGGCCACCACAGUGAAUGUCUACAGAUGCUUCUAUAUCCAUCAGGGACUCGAAUUUCUCAAAUGUGAGUGCCAGUCCCAGAGAAAAUUGGCCGAUUUCCAUUAUACCCACAGUCCUACAGCCCAGAACUUCAAGACUUACCCAGAGAUUAUUGGGGUCAUCAGGGGUGGGAGUGGGAGUUUGUUGUAGACAGACUCUGGCCCACACAUACCUGCAGUCAUUGCUGUAGACAGACCCCAAAGGGGAAGGUCAUCCCAAAUUCUGGCUUAGAUUUCUGGCCUCCUUUCUCACUUGAGUGUUGGCUUUCUAUUCUCUGUUUUGUUAGCUUCUACUGACUUCAGUAAAAUGUUCCUUUUUUAA